rnacentral:rRNA from 1 species
GGGUCAGUAGGUUGGUCGUGCCACCGGUACGUACUGGUCUCACUGAUUCCUCCUUCCUGAAGAACCGUAACGCCAUUAAUUUGGUGUUGCGGGGAAACAGGACUGUUACUUUGAAAAAAUUAGAGUGUUUAUAGCAAGCUAACGCUUGAAUACAUUAGCAUGGAAGAAUGAAUUAGGACGAUCGAUCCUAUUUUGUUGGUUUCUAGGAUUGACGUA